UUGUGUAUCAGUACAUGGCAUAUCAAUAACGGAGGAAAAGAAACUAACAAGGAUUCCCCUAGUAACGGCGAGUGAAGCGGGAAGAGCUCAAAUUUGAAAUCUUAAAGGGUUUCCCUUUACGAAUUGUAGUUUAAAGAAGUGUUUUCUGUUGGAGUUUCGGUAAAAGUUCUUUGGAAUAGGACAUCAUAGAGGGUGAGAAUCCCGUAUUUGGUCAUUCCUCCUAGCGUUGUGAUACACUUUCAACGAGUCGGAUUGUUUGGGAAUGCAGUCCAAAAUGGGUGGUAAAUUUCAUCUAAAGCUAAAUAUUGGCGAGAGACCGAUAGCGAACAAGUACCGUGAGGGAAAGAUGAAAAGAACUUUGAAAAGAGAGUUAAACAGUACGUGAAAUUGUCAAAAGGGAAGCGUUUGACACCAGUGUUGUUUAGUUGAAAAUCAAUUCAAUAGUUUUUGAUUCUAAGUAGUAUUGACUUCAUCAGCUUGCUGCUUUCUUCUCAGAAAUUAUUGAAUGCACUUUUCAGUUAACAAGUCAACAUCAAUUUCUUUUGUUGUAAAAGGGUAAGAGGAAGGUGGCUUGCGCUUCGGCUCAAGUGUUUAUAGCCUUUUAUCUCUGCAAUCGGAGAGAUUGAGGUCUGCAGCGUAGAUCCUUCGGGGUUAGAUACAUUGGUGCUAAGCUAUAGCCUUGUAUAGACAACUUGUUGGCUAUGCUCAGUCAUGUAGCUUACUCGCUGAUGCUAUUUUACCUACGCUUAGGAUGUUGACAGCAGUAUAGACUGU
rnacentral:rRNA from 1 species